UACCUGGUUGAUCCUGCCAGUAGUCAUAUGCUUGUCUCAAAGAUUAAGCCAUGCAAGUCUAAGUACGAGCUCUCGUACAGUGAAACUGCGAAUGGCUCAUUAAAUCAGUUAUGGUUCAUUUGAUCGUACAGUUUACUUGGAUAACUGUGGUAAUUCUAGAGCUAAUACAUGCGAGAAGCGCCGACCUCGCGGGAGGCGUGCAUUUAUCAGACCAAAAACCGGCCGCUCUUCGGGCGCGUUCGCC
rnacentral:ncRNA from 1 species